rnacentral:rRNA from 1 species
AACGAACGCUGGCGGCAUGCCUAACACAUGCAAGUCGAACGAGACCUUCGGGUCUAGUGGCGCACGGGUGCGUAACGCGUGGGAACCCGCCCUUAGGUUCGGAAUAACUCCCCGAAAGGGGUGCUAAUACCGGAUAAUGUCUUCGGACCAAAGAUUUAUCGCCUUUGGAUGGGCCCGCGUUGGAUUAGCUAGUUGGUAGGGUAAAAGCCUACCAAGGCGACGAUCCAUAGCUGGUCUGAGAGGAUGAUCAGCCACACUGGGACUGAGACACGGCCCAGACUCCUACGGGGGGCAGCAGUGGGGAAUAUUGGACAAUGGGCGAAAGCCUGAUCCAGCAAUGCCGCGUGAGUGAUGAAGGCCUUAGGGUUGUAAAGCUCUUUUACCCGGGAUGAUAAUGACAGUACCGGGAGAAUAAGCUCCGGCUAACUCCGUG